GAAAAAUAAACUCGUAGCUCGGUCUUAGGAGCCUGGACGACUCUGUUUUUUUUUCUUUUGAAGUGUGUUUUUUCUUUCAUCCUCACCCCUCCUCUCAGGUACCGUUCGACUAGUGACGGCCGGCUCCGUCAUAUUUAUUAUGAGAGUUGGAAUUGGUUUGUAUAAUUGUGGAUGUUGAGAAGUCCUGCAAAAUGCCAUUGCAAGCUGGAAAACCAGGAAAGCUGGUGGUGUAAUUCAGGCCAUAUUGGAAAGCCUCAGAACCAGAGAUACACUUGUGUAAGUUCUAGAGUCUAAGAGUCAUACGUAAGAGGGGCUCCGAUGUCUAAAGGCAAGAGAGGAUGAACUUCCAGUCUACAAAGGAUGCUGACAACCCGUUUUCCAAAGUGGCUGUAUUACUUUACAUCCUCACCUUGAUUUCUCAAGGACUCCAGUUCUCUGCACCCUUAUUAAAAUCUGAUACUGUCUUUUUGGUUAUAGCCAUACUAGUGGGAGGUGGUACCUCAUUGUGAUUUUAAUUUAAAUUUAUUUGAUGAUUAAUGAUGUUGACCAUCUUUUAAUUUAAUA